UGUUUCGAUAGUUUUAUUGGAACACGAUGGUAACACAAACAUGGAUUUGGGGUCCCACCACAGAUGUUCCUCCUCCAGGCAGCAUGCACCCCACUUCUGCAGCCAGCAGAGGCUCCAGGAGGCCUGCAGAAGGUGGAGGCAGCCCAGAGACAGACGUGGAGGCGUCUUCUGCAGUGGCGGGUGGUGCGUGGGCCCCUCGGGCCAGAGCUCUGACCAGCUGAGUCUGUGAACAGCCAGACUGGUUUGUUUUCACUUGAGGUCAUGUGGCCGUGACUGAGAGACCUGCCUGCCUCAGACUCCUGGGAAAACUUCCAAGGAGGGGGAUUCUGGGGAUUCCAGAAGGAAUUCAGCCAAGAGACUAAGCACCUCUGGGGGGAUCACCAGGGCAAAUCAUGCCUUUAGGUUUAUUGGCAGAUACACUGCUGAAAGCAUCUGUUUUGGCCACUCUCUGCACUCUCUUUUCUCUGAUCAUUCAUCCAACACAUAUUUAUUAAGCUCCUACCAUGUGACAAACUCUCCUCUAGGGGUUAGACAGACAACGGUCACCAGAAACAGACAGGACCCACAGCCUGGUGAGGAGGAGAGACAGACAACGUUCAAGGAAUCACGCAAACAGCCAUGCCAGUGCCUUCCAAGGAGAGCUCUGAGGGGUGUGGCAGGGGGCCUGGUUUGGUGUGGAGGGUCAAGGAAGACUUCCUCAAGGAAGUGACAUUUCAGGGCACUAAAAUGAGCAGGAGGAGCCUUUCCUCACGGAAACAGCUUUGAGCAUGGAAUGGGCAGAGUGAGUUAAUCAAACUAAAAGGAAAAGAACAGCAGGGCCAGAGUGAAGUGACGGAGGAGGCCUGGCGCAGGGGGAGGCUGGAGAGGGCCCAGCAGGGUCCCAGCACACAGGGCCUGAGGGCUGGGCUGAAGAUGGUUUUAUCUACCUGUGUGGCAUGACCUGGGUUGCAUCUGGCAUGGCCCACUCUGGCUGUCAGGUAGGGGGUGGACUGGGUGGGGGCGAGAGUGCUGAGAAGAGGUGUUCCAACUGUCCUGAUGGAGACAAUGGUGGUCGGAUGGAGUGACACAGAGUAGAUGGGGAGAAGCCAGCAGACAGUGGAGCCAGGGCUCCAUGAGGACUGAGGCAAACGGAGGUGGCAAGGUGGACCCUCAGCCUGUGAAGCCCGGGCAGGCUUUGGUCUGAGAAAGGGACCUGGGGAGCAGAGCAGGUGCAGGGAGAAGGCAGGCACGCAGCUGCAGGCACGCAGCUGCAGACACGCUGAGGGAGAGCGCCUCUGAAACUCCCAGGUGGAGGUGUUGCGGAGGCGGCAGUGGGUCUCAAGCUCCCGGAAGGAGCCAAGCCUGCAGUUAUAAAUCUGUGAGUGAUUUCAUAACCAAACCUCGUGCCUUGUAACUGGAGUUGUGGGUGCAGACGAGGUCACAGGAGGAGAGAUGCUGAGUGAGAAGAGAGGACUCUGGACUGAGACUGAGGAACAGCCACAUCUGAUGGCAGGUAGAGGACAAUGAGUUGCAAAAGGGACAGAAAAGGGAGAUUGAGUGUCAGGGGCCAGCCAGGAGAUGCCACUGAGAAGCCCUGGGGGUAGAAGUCCCUCCACAGCCCCCUCUCUCUGGGGCUGGCACUACCCUAUCUCUUUGAGUCUCUUUAUGGAUCCUGUAAAUAGGAACAGGGGGCCUACCCUCUUGGACAGGGGAAUCAAAAGCUGCUUAGAGUGGUCAGGAGACGUGCCCAAGGUCAUACGGCCACCAGAGAGUGCUGGGGGCCAACUCCCCCAUUCACAACCAUUACAGUCCCUCAAGAUCCAUCCCUCCCUCCAUGAUGCCUGGCUGCAGACACUCUCUCCAGCAAGUCCACCGCAUACCACUUCUUGAUGACAAGCACCAGAGAGGGUCAUACUGUAGCAGGAAGGGACCCCCAGAGCCUGGGGGUCUAAGCCUUGCUAGGAGGAAGGUGGCUGAGUCAAGGAAAUAUUUGCCUUCUCUCCUGAGAGGUGGUGUAGUGCAGUGUCAGUAGUGUGGGCUUGAGGCCUGGCUUUUCACCCGUUCUCUCAUUCAUUCACCCAUUCAACACAUAUUUUUGUGUGCCUCCUAUGUGCUAGGCACACUUUCUAGGUGCUGAGUGGCCUUGGGCAGGUCCCUUACUUCUCUGAGCCUCAGUUUCCAUCUCUGUAAAGUCGGGGUGUGAUUCUUGCUCUAAACUCAUGUUGCUAUAAGGGUUACGAGAGCUCAUGCCAGGGAAGCACCUGGUACACAGUAGGUGCUCAUGAAAAGCUAUUUCCUUCCUUUCUCUGUCUUUUCCUUUCCUUUCCUUCAUCCUGCAGAACCCAUGAGGGAGUGAGAGACCAGAGAGAUGGCGACCCGAACUGGGGUG
rnacentral:lncRNA from 10 species